rnacentral:rRNA from 1 species
AUUGAACGCUGGCGGCAUGCUUUACACAUGCAAGUCGAACGGUAACAGGCCGCAAGGCGCUGACGAGUGGCGAACGGGUGAGUAAUGCAUCGGAACGUGCCCAGUCGUGGGGGAUAACGCAGCGAAAGCGGUGCUAAUACCGCAUACGAUCUAUGGAUGAAAGCGGGGGACCGUAAGGCCUGGUCCGAUUGGAGCGGCCGAUGUCAGAUUAGGUAGUUGGUGGGGUAAAGGCCUACCAAGCCGACGAUCUGUAGCUGGUCUGAGAGGACGACCAGCCACACUGGGACUGAGACACGGCCCAGACUCCUACGGGAGGCAGCAGUGGGGAAUUUUGGACAAUGGGCGCAAGCCUGAUCCAGCAAUGCCGCGUGCAGGAAGAAGGCCUUCGGGUUGUAAACUGCUUUUGUACGGAACGAAACGGUCUGGGUUAAUACCCUGGGCUAAUGACGGUACCGUAAGAAUAAGCACCGGCUAACUACGUGCCAGCAGCCGCGGUAACAC